CAUGUCUUCACGCCAUCAGCUCGGGAGUGGGCUCCUUAUAAACAGGGAGAGUCCAGCCCCCCUCUGCCUCUCUUGUCCUUCUGCCUUCCACGGUGGGGUGGUGCAGCGAGAAGGCCCUCACUAGAAGCUGGUCCUUGAUCUUGAACUUCCCAGAAACCAGAACUCCCAUAGACCUUCCCAGUUGACCAGCAGCCUGGAGACGCCAGCCAGAGCCUACCCUCCAAGGACGUGGAACACAGCCCUGGUGUGUAAGCGGUGGUGAGACCCCCUCGGCGUCAGGCACAGUGCUGGUGCCCCAGGGGUGUGGCACUAGGGGCUGCGAUCCCACUGACACGUCCUGGAAGCCCCUCCACUGGCCCACAUCAGAAACCCCCGUCCCUGGACUGGAGCUGCUCCAGGACCCUGCUUCUUCACACACCCAGCCGACCACUCAGGAAGAGACGGCCCCACCGCGACCUGCUCCCUCCCAGGGUGUAGCUGCUGGUCACACCGGAGCCUGGUCCAGGCAAGGAGUGCCGGCCUCAGUUUCCCCAAGGGCAAGGCAGGAUUCAGGUUUAGUCCGAGAUAGGAAGGUCCCCUGGAGGGGUGGCUCCCAGUGGCCACCCCGAGCCUCCCAGACUAGGCUGGGUGGGAGCAGUAGUGAUCUCGGCCCAGCUUCCUGCAGCCUCCAGGAGCCAGGCACGCCCAGCAUUCCAGCUGUCACGGGGCCCAGCUGGCUGCACUGUGGGAGCACCCAGGAGCGAGCCCAGGUGAGGGAAGGCGGGAGGCCAGGCCCCAGGGUGCAGCCCCAAAGACAACAGUCAUUAGGCCAGAUGCAGAAGGCCAGGGAGGGGUGGAGGAGGUUCCCACAAAGGACAGGAGGGUGGGGCCCUGCCGAGGCCUGAGCUGGGGUGGCCUGGCCCUCUUCCCUUCUCCCUCGGCUCCUGUCCUCCCCAGCCUGUCCCCCUUCUCCAUCCUCAGGAAGCCCCCUGCCCCAGCCAGAGGAGACCACAGGGGUCGGGGAGGACUGAGCCGUCACUUGAAACAGGGACGCCCUGGCCCAGCCUCAGUGGGGCACCCCCCCGGGACGUCAGCCUCCUCUGGGGACUCGAAGCCUGGCCCACGCCGAGCCAGUGCAGAGCUACCUCUCCCUGCCCAGAGAGCCCGCGUGAUGGCUGCGCAGAGCCUGGUAACUAACUGGCUACUGGCCUCAUACAAGCUGAAAACAAGAACCACCCAGGGGGCCGGCGUGUGGCAUAGCAGGUAAAGCCAUCACCUGCAGUGCCCAGUGCACAUGUCCAGCAGCCUAGAAGCCUUGGGUGGAGGCCGCAUUGGCACCUUGCAGGGGGCUGGUAGAAGCGUCACAGCCUGGGGCCAGCCAGGGCCCAGCUCCCUGGGAGGAAGGGACCUCAGCCCAGCCUACAGAGGGAAACAGAAACUGCUCACGCCCCACCGCGGGCGCCUUCCCUUCCCAGCACGGCAGGCCCGGGGGGCCCCUGCGCCGGCUACGCGCCAUGAGUCACGGCCGCCCCGCCUCGGCCUCCUUGCCUGAGAAGCGGCCGGAGCCACACUGCCUUGCCCGGCUGUGAGGGGAAGCAAGCGAGCCAGCCUCCGGGAAGGCAUUUUGGAAACUGUGAGGGGCCGGCCACGUGUAAAGAGCCCAGGUCACGGAGGAACAAGACCCACCCGUGCAGGGAGAAGCACUCUUCAUGCGGAUUGAAUCACUUGAAAAAAGACCAAACCUCACGAGGACAGGGAGAAUGUAAGCUAUAAGUCGCCGAUGGCUUGGGGGCAGAGAAGGCAUUCCUCGGGCACAGCACAAAACACUGAAGUCACGUGGGGAAAGAACUGAGACACCCGACCUUCUGUCAACGACAAGUGCCCGUCCGGUCAAGCUGGCCUUGAGCAGAGGGACAGAGCGAGCACCGGAUGUGGAGGAAGUGCCCAAAACACAGAAGAUUUUAGAAACGAGCGGGAGGGCCAAGGAGUGCCUGCUGCAUGCCCGGCACAGGUGCUGCGAAGCUUGGCAGGAAGCCACAACACGCCUCCUGCUGUCCUGCCUCUGACACGGUAGUAGGGCGGGGGAGCCGGCAGUGAGGAGGUAGACAUGCGUGUGUCACGGGGCGGUUACGGAGGAAGAUCAAACACGCAGGGAGCCAACACUGUGGAGAAGAGGAACGGUGUGAGGCCAUCCAGACCCCAGAGAGAAAAAGCUACGCACGACAGAAAAACGGGCAAGGACGUACAACACAGACUCGCUGGCCACGGCACGCAGCAGCCCUGGGCCGGCCACGAAAGCUGUGUGAUGGGGCGAGUGGCAGGUGUUCCGGUGGGCGCUGGCAAGGGCAGACACACGAGGAAUCUCACGCCCUUUUGUUGGGAGUGUAAAUUGGUAUUUUUAAAAAAAGAUAUUUAUGGGCCGGUGCCGCGGCUCACUAGGCUAAUCCUCCACCUGCAGCGCCAGCACCCCGGGUUCUAGUCCCAGUUGGGGUGCCGGAUUCUGUCCCGGUUGCCCCUCUUCCAGGCCAGCUCUCUGCUGUGGCCCCAGAGUGCAGUGGAGGAUGGCCCAGGUCCUUGGGCCCUGCACCUGCAUGGGAGACCAGGAGAAGCACCUGGCUCCUGGCUUCAG